CCAUCCCAUCCCAUCCAUCUCCUAGGGACAUUCCCAUGGACAGAACCGAAGGGGGAUGGCAAGUUCAUUGAGCAGAGACCCCCAAGAGUUCCCAAGCUGGCCUGGGUGGAGAAGGAGGAAGAAGAGCCUGAGCCUGAACCUGACCCAGAAGUGGAGACUGAGGAGGUUGUGCCGAUCCAGCUGCUGCAGGAUGACACGUGUGUGACGGCAUCGGAUACUACUGGUGGGAAGGAAAACUGGGAAUGGCUCCGGCGGCUCCGCAAUCUCCACCAAGCUCAGCAUCCUGUCUGGAGAGCUCUACAACUCAGGACUACACAAAAACAUGUGGAAAAAUCAAGGAACUCAGGCGCACAAUGGAAACAAAGUGAAUAAAGAUGGGCAAAACCAGCAAAGCAUGAACAGGAGGAGACUUCCAGCCCAUUCAGAAAGGAAAAGUAGGAUUCUCUUUGAAAAAAAUUCCAGUAGCAUUUUAAAAAAAACCUAAAAUCUUCCUAAAUAAAACCAAAAUUUUGGGCCCUCCCAGGCCCUGGUA